ensembl:lncRNA
CCCUGCCUGCCCUUGCCACCCCUGGCUGGCAGUGCCCGUGCUGCUGGGGCCGGUGGUGGCUGCAGCCCCUCUGGCCGUGCUGCAGCCCCUGGCUUCCUUGGCUGCAGCCCCUCCUCUGGCCGUGCUGCAGCCCCCGGCUUCCUUCGCAGCCGCCAGUAGCCCCCAGCAGCCCCGCCUACCAGCAGGGAGAUCACGGGCUGGCAGCCCAGAGAGGGCAGUGUGAGGGACGGGAGGAGAGCAGCCCCGGGGGGGAUCAGGGGCCGGUAGAAGUAGCUGAUGAAGAAGAGGAUAUAGAGAUAGUUGUUGUAUAGAUAGUAAGAGGGUAUGAUGAUAGUUGAUAGCGACGUAGAUUAGUUGAUAGCGACGUAGAUUAGUUGAUAGCGACGUUGAUAGCUGAUGGUUGUAUACAGGUAGCGAACAGAUAGCAGAUAGCUAGGUGGGUUAUUGGUAGAGAGGUAGUUUGUGGAUAGCAAGGUAGUUAGCAGAAAGCAAGAGUUAGUAGCGAUGUAGUUAGAUCAUAGCCAGAUAGCUGAUAGGGGGAUGGAGGAUAGAAAGAUGAGUGACUGGGAGAUAGUUAAUUUAUAGACUGCAAUAGUGAAAGUUGCUGAAAAGAACUUUGUCUCUGUUUCAGACGAGCCACUGAGUCCUGGGACACCACUCUCCCCUCAGUACGAUGAAGACCAACGCCUGAUGCUGCUCCGUCACCAGCAGAAGAACAGCAGCUCUGCAGAGACCCGUCCUGCCAGCAGAGCAUCACGGAGAAGAAGACGCGCCUUCUGCUCACAGGAAGACGAGUCCCUGCACAUCACUUGACCCCCUCCUCCAGGAGGAAGCAGGAUCAGCGCCCGGUGCUGCCCCAGCGCCGGCAGAAGAACAGCGGCUCUUGGAAGCGCGACCUGCUGGGAGAUCGUCGGGGAGAAGAGGACGCGCCUUCUGCGCCGAGGGAGGGACGGCCGUGUGUGUGCGCAUGGCCCAGCUCCCAGCACGUCCUCCUGGCUGGGAGGGGCGUUCCCAUGAGAUGAGCCUGGGGCAGCGGAGGAGCAUCGAUGAUGCCCUCCGGACCCAGGAUGAGGAAGGAAGAACUGGAUGGGAGAGGAGAGCACGGCUGACGCCGUCAGUGUGAAGUGCCUCGUGUGGGAGAAGAGACUGGGCCAGCAGCAGACAGAUAGGGAGCACAGGGACGUAGUUAACACCAGAAUGUCUGUUAGACAGUCGUGUUAUUGUCGAAAAGCUCUGUAAAUAAAUAGUUUGAUAUCUCUCAUAUCCUUCCUAUCUUGUGUUGUUUAAAACCAUGUGGAUUCGUAGGCUGAUACUUCUGAAAAUAGGUGUCAGAACCAUAAACCUUUCCCACUUGUCUCGCCUGAUUUGUUUUAAGGUGAAAUCCCUGCCUGAUUUUAAAGUUUGUCUCGCAAAAGGGAGUAGAAACUGAAGUUCGAGCAGUUGCUUAACGACUUUUGUAACUGAGGAGCUCCAGAUUCUCGGUCACAAAGAGCAGAAGGCAGAAUAACGUCUGCAUGCCACACACACCCAUUUGCUAAUGCCAGCCUCGGACGGAAAGGGAGGAGCGUGCCAUCCUAACUGCUGCACACUGCUGCCCUAAGGAGAAAGAGUGAAAAAGCUGCCCCCAGUCAUUAUGGACACGCUUCAGAAGUGCAUACCAAACCCGUGUGUCAGUUCUGCAUUUCAGAAGAGCCUCCAGGGAAGGCACGGGGAUUGCCCAGGGGCAGGCCCUGACCGGAGCAGCUGCGCAUAAGCAAGCCAAGGGGAUGGGGGGAGCAGCACCUGGCUAAGUGGGGGAUGCCAAAGCAUCGCCUUGGAAGCCUUAGGAACCAACAGCAACGAGGGCCUGCAGCCAUCUGAGCCCAGGCUAGGACCUGCCUUCUCACGGCGCAGCAGGGCAGGCUGCGGGCACUGCUGGGCACAGAUCCCAAGCAGAAUGCAACCGCUUCAGGAAGCGGUGUCGGACAUUCUCACGGGCUGCACCGGGCAGAGCAGAGCAGAGCAGAGCAGAGCAGAGCGGGACGGUCCUUUCCUGGGGAGUGCUGGGCCUGAUGCGCCCCAGGGUACGGUUGGCCCUUUGGGCUGUCGGGGCACGCUGCCGGCUCAGAUGCAACUUGCCGUUCACCAGAACCCCCAGAGCCCUUUUGUGGGGCUGCUCUGCAGCCUCCCCUCCCGCAGGGUGUGCACAGAGCCACGGCUGUCCCAUCCCAGCGGCAGAAUCCACCACUUGCUCUCCUUAACUUCAGAUCAACCGGGCAGUUGCCCAGCCCUCCAAUUUGUCAGCAUCUCUCUGCAGCUCCUCCCAGUUGAGUGUUGUUUGCAGAUGGUACUGCAAUGACAUUUAAUCAAA